rnacentral:rRNA from 1 species
GGCUUAGAGUUUGAUCCUGGCUCAGAUUGAACGCUGGCGGAAUGCUUUACACAUGCAAGUCGAGCGGUAGACCCUUUCGGGGGUUGAGAGCGGCGAACGGGUGAGUAAUGCAUCGGAACGUACCUAGUCGUGGGGGAUAACGUAGCGAAAGUUACGCUAAUACCGCAUACGUCCUACGGGAGAAAGCAGGGGCUCGCAAGACCUUGCGCGAUUGGAGCGGCCGAUGUCUGAUUAGCUAGUUGGUAGGGUAAAGGCCUACCAAGGCAUCGAUCAGUAGCGGGUCUGAGAGGAUGAUCCGCCACACUGGGACUGAGACACGGCCCAGACUCCUACGGGAGGCAGCAGUGGGGAAUUUUGGACAAUGGGGGCAACCCUGAUCCAGCCAUUCCGCGUGAGUGAAGAAGGCCUUCGGGUUGUAAAGCUCUUUCAGCCGGAACGAAACGGUUCGCUCUAACAUAGCGGACUACUGAA